UACGUAGGGGGCAAGCGUUGUCCGGAUUUAUUGGGCGUAAAGAGCGUGUAGGCGGCCAGAUAGGUCCGUUGUGAAAACUCGAGGCUCAACCUCGAGACGCCGAUGGAAACCAUUUGGCUAGAGUCCGGAAGAGGAGAGUGGAAUUCCUGGUGUAGCGGUGAAAUGCGUAGAGAUCAGGAAGAACACCAGUGGCGAAGGCGACUACCUGGCCUGUUCUUGACGCUGAGGCGCGAAAGCUAGGGGAGCAAACGGG
rnacentral:rRNA from 1 species